rnacentral:rRNA from 1 species
UGCCUGGUAGCGGGGGAUAACUAUUGGAAACGAUAGCUAAUACCGCAUAAUAUCGACUAUUGCAUGAUAGUCAAUUGAAAGGUGCAAAUGCACCACUACCAGAUGGACCUGCGUUGUAUUAGCUAGUUGGUGGGGUAACGGCUCACCAAGGCGACGAUACAUAGCCGACCUGAGAGGGUGAUCGGCCACACUGGGACUGAGACACGGCCCAG